GAUGAAGAACGUAGCGAAAUGCGAUAAGUAAUGUGAAUUGCAGAAUUCAGUGAAUCAUCGAAUCUUUGAACGCACCUUGCACCCUUUGGUAUUCCGAAGGGUAUGCUCGUUUGAGUGUCAUUGUACUCUCACACUUCUAAUUCCUUUCGGGAUUGGGAGCGGUGGACUUGGGUGUUGCUGCUUUAGUUGUGGCUCACCUCAAAUAAGUUAGUGCAACUCUUGGUUGGACAUAGUACGGCGUGAUAAGUGUCUUCGCCGGCGCCUCUGUAAGGAGGGUGGCCGAUCGGGNNNNCUGUGCUUCAAACCGUCUUCGGACAAUCUUUGACAACUUGACCUCAAAUCGAGUAGGACUACCCGCUGAACUUAAGCAUAUCAAUAAGCGGAGGA
rnacentral:misc_RNA from 1 species